AGGGUUUGAUCCUGGCUCAGGACGAACGCUGGCGGCGUGCUUUAAACAUGCAAGUCAAGGAGAACAUAUUCUUCGGAAUAUAAGUAAACUGGCGAACGGGUGAGUAACACGUAGGUAAUCUGCCCUAGAGAUUGGAAUAACCCCGGGAAACCGGAGCUAAUGCCGAAUAAUGCAGCGGAUCCUUCGGGAUAUGUUGUUAAAGCGGGCACUUGUGCUCGCACUUUAGGAUGAGCCUGCGUCCGAUUAGCUUGUUGGUGGGGUAAUGGCCUACCAAGGCAACGAUCGGUAGCUGGUCUGAGAGGAUGAUCAGCCACACUGGGAUUGAGAUACGGCCCAGACUUCUACGGGAGGCAGCAGUUAGGAAUUUUGCGCAAUGGGCGAAAGCCUGACGCAGCAACGCCGCGUGAUCGAUGAAGCUUUUCGGAGUGUAAAGAUCUGUCGUGAGGGAAGAAUAACUUGAAUGCAAAUAGUUUUCAAGUCUGACGGUACCUCACAAGAAAGCACCGGCUAACUUCGUGCCAGCAGCCGCGGUAAUACGAGGGGUGCUAGCGUUGUCCGGAAUCAUUGGGCGUAAAGGGUCCGUAGGUGUCUUUGAAAGUCUUUUGUUACAUCCAUCGGCUUAACCGGUGGCCUGCAAUCGAAACUUCAAGGAUAGAGUUCGAGAGAGGAAAGUGGAAUUCCUGG
rnacentral:rRNA from 1 species